rnacentral:pre_miRNA from 1 species
AUACAAAUCACCUGGGCAUCUUAUUAAAAUCCAGAUUCUGAUUUAACAGCUCUGGGUGGGGCCUGGAAGUCUACAUUUCUAACAAGCUCCCAGGUGAUGUUGAU